GUUUAAUUUACUAGGUAACGAUAAAGAUUGACAAGAUUUAAAUAAGAUCUCAGGUGUUUAUGAAAUCCAUUUACAGCAAGCAGGAGUCUACAUAAUUACACAUCUAGAAAUUUAACUAAAGAAUCAAUGAGCAUAAAUGUAUAGAAAAAGGCCAUGAAAACAUGGCAUUAGUGCAAAGAGUGGCCAUUAUGAAUCUCUCUAUCAACUGGAAUGACGCAAAAAUCAUACAGGACGAAGAAGAUCCAAUAAAAGGAAAACUAGAGAAACAUUGCACAUUUUACAUAAAAGAAAAUCUGCAGUUAUGCCAAUUAACAAACUCAGCCCUAAUGACAUCAGUGAAGCAUGGAGAUGGUAUCUACUUAAAAGACUCUAUUAACUUAAUAUUACAAUUUUAUAAAUUCAUUAUAUAUUUAUUUUUAACACUGAUAAUUAUAUUUAUUAAGAAAUUU
rnacentral:lncRNA from 1 species